rnacentral:siRNA from 1 species
UUCCAACGUCUUCGUGUAGGGGA